rnacentral:rRNA from 1 species
CCUACGGGAGGCUGCAGUGAGGAAUAUUGGUCAAUGGCCGGAAGGCUGAACCAGCCAUGCCGCGUGAAGGGCAGGGGCCUAAGGGCGUUAAACUUCUUUUGUGCGGGAGCAAGAAUGGUCACGGGUGGCCAGACGAGAGUACCGUACGAAUAAGCAGCGGCGAACCCCGUGCCAGCAGCAGCGGUAAGACGGGGGAUGCAAGCGUUAUCCGGAUUUAGUGGGUUUCAAGGGUGCGUAGGCUGGGAGGUAAGUCAGCGGGGAACGGCCCCCGCUCAACGGGGUGAAGUGCCAUUGAUACUGCCUUGCUGGAUUGCGGCUGCCGUGGGUGGUAUGUGUGGUGUAGCGGU